CAAGACACACCCUGGAUGAGUAAUUUUGUGGUUGUUACCUUGGUGAUCUCAAGUAAUGUGGUUUCUGCAGUUCUUAUCACAGUUUGCUAUUAUUUCAGAGCUCACGUAAAUCGGCGUGUAACACUCAAUGAACCGGCUCCUACAGUACAGGAAACUGUUGAGACGUUAAACAUUCAAGAGUCAUAUACAGGACAAUACUCGAUGUCCAAACCAGGACAUAAUAUAUACGAGACAGUUAUAGACGAUUACCCAUCGUCGGCGCAACAGCCACCUUUGACUACAGCAGACGACGAUUACCUAGUUAUAAUUGACGAUGAUAACUGAUCAAAUUCCAGAGCAGAUAACUUUUAUCCUGCGUUGUAUAUUGAAAAUUAGUACAUUUACACAACAGCGCUUUAUAAAUGAAGCCGCAUCCCCAUAUCUGCACAACACCGCCCUUUACAUUUAUCCACACACCUUCAUCUCAAGAAAAAAGAGCCCAAAUGAAUUAAGCCAAAAAAAAAACAACAAUUUGACAGUUAAUUAUAUAUGAACUUUGAACAACCUAACUGAAAAGGUACAUAAAUUAUCCUGUUCACAUACAAAGACACAGACAGAAUUGAACAAAAUAGUAUUAAACUUCUGUCCAAUAUUACUAAAUUUUCUUUAUACUUUGUGAACGAGAAAGUAAAAAGAAAAUUAUAACACAUGUAUUCUGUUAUUUCACUGUGACAGACUGUAUUAUUUGUAUUAUGUUUGGAGUAAAUCGUAUGUGUCAUUAAUUUAACUGUACAUCAAAAAUGACUGGGUGAGCAAUCAAUCAUCGCAUAUUUCAUAAUUUUUUGGGUAUCGCACACAGACUGGAUUGCGAGAGAGUGUAUAUAACCAGGGCGAAUAUGACGUUUGAUAGGCCAUCUAAACGAACGCAAGAGUGUAUAUCACCUGUGUGAAUAAUACUUUUGAUAGGCCACCUAAGCGAAUGCAAGAGUGUAUAUAACCUGUGUGAAUACUACGUUUAAUAGGCCACUUAAACGAAUGCAAGAGUGUAUAUAACCUGGGCGAAUAUGACGUUUGAUAGGCUACUUAAACGAACGCAAGGGGAAGCUAUGUGUUUUGACUGUUAGAACUUAAAAUGUAUUCAAUAUUAUUCCUGUGAUUCUUAUCUUGUCAAUUCAUGCACUUUAAUUUUUAGUGCUUUAUCAACUGUAAAUGUGUGAGCACUGAAAUGAACUGUAUUCAUUGCUGAUUUAACUAUUGUAAAUAAAGUUGUGAACUG